rnacentral:rRNA from 1 species
GAUGAACGCUGGCGGCGUGCCUAACACAUGCAAGUCGAGCGAUUCUCUUCGGAGAAGAGCGGCGGACGGGUGAGUAACGCGUGGGUAACCUGCCCUGUACACACGGAUAACAUACCGAAAGGUAUGCUAAUACGAGAUAAUAUACUUUUAUCGCAUGGUAGAAGUAUCAAAGCUCCGGCGGUACAGGAUGGACCCGCGUCUGAUUAGCUAGUUGGUAAGGUAACGGCUUACCAAGGCGACGAUCAGUAGCCGACCUGAGAGGGUGAUCGGCCACAUUGGAACUGAGACACGGUCCAAACUCCUACGGGAGGCAGCAGUGGGGAAUAUUGCACAAUGGGCGAAAGCCUGAUGCAGCAACGCCGCGUGAGCGAUGAAGGCCUUCGGGUCGUAAAGCUCUGUCCUCAAGGAAGAUAAUGACGGUACUUGAGGAGGAAGCCCCGGCUAACUACGUGCCAGCAGCCGCGGUAAUACGUAGGGGGCUAGCGUUAUCCGGAAUUACUGGGCGUAAAGGGUGCGUAGGUGGUUUCUUAAGUCAGAGGUGAAAGGCUACGGCUCAACCGUAGUAAGCCUUUGAAACUGGGAAACUUGAGUGCAGGAGAGGAGAGUGGAAUUCCUAGUGUAGCGGUGAAAUGCGUAGAUAUUAGGAGGAACACCAGUUGCGAAGGCGGCUCUCUGGACUGUAACUGACACUGAGGCACGAAAGCGUGGGGAGCAAACAGGAUUAGAUACCCUGGUAGUCCACGCCGUAAACGAUGAGUACUAGCUGUCGGAGGUUACCCCCUUCGGUGGCGCAGCUAACGCAUUAAGUACUCCGCCUGGGAAGUACGCUCGCAAGAGUGA